UACGUAGGGGGCAAGCGUUGUCCGGAUUUAUUGGGCGUAAAGAGCGUGUAGGCGGCCAGGUAGGUCUGUUGUGAAAACUCGAGGCUCAACCUCGAGACGCCGAUGGAAACCAUCUGGCUAGAGUCCGGAAGAGGAGAGUGGAAUUCCCGGUGUAGCGGUGAAAUGCGCAGAUAUCGGGAAGAACACCGGUGGCGAAGGCGGGUCUCUGGGCCGUAACUGGACGCUGAGGAGCGAAAGCAUGGGGAGCGAACAGG
rnacentral:rRNA from 1 species